GCGCUGCACUCCCUCUCAAUGCCUUCCGUUCCCAUGCAUGAGCGCGGUCGUACAACCACCUGUCUCUCUUUAUCGCACACACAUAAACUGCCACACUACCACCACCCACCACUAAUCAACGGUGAAAAGGAGAAAAAAAAACGCCCUCCCUACAUCUGUUCUGGCUUGCUCGUACGCUUCGCGCCCAUCAUCACCCCCCCCCACACACACCUCCCCCGCGUACGCAUGCACACACUUUUUCCUGUGUAUGUGUAUGUGCAACCCAUGGUAGAUGCGGAGAGCUGGCAAAAAACAACAUAGGCUGAUUUUCGACCCCAGCAGAUCGCGCGCAAUCCUCAUCCCGGCAGAGCGCGACGCUACCGGAUAGCGAGAGGGAGAAACUGAUCAUCGAUCAUCGAUUCUUUUUCUUUGUUUGUCUCCUCAUCUACGCAGAUGGAGCGGGGAGCUGAUGAUGGUCCGGCCUCCCUCCCCUCCCCUCCCUACUCCUCAGCUCUUCGCUAACCUCACUGCCUCCGUAUUUUCUCAGCUUCGGCCCUUUGUCGUGCCGCGCCUCUCUGACCGAUGUGGAAGUUUUCCAGAUCACUAUGCUUUUUACGGAUGGCACGUCAUCACGGAACAGGGGCCGUUUCGCUGACCGCCGUCCGAUACCCGAGCCUUUGGAACCCGCCCAGCUGUGGUUGCAGCCGGUUCUGUAGGCAUACCCCGCUCCUACCCAGAUUCAGGUCCUGGAUCCCUCAUCACCGCCGGCAACGCCGCUUUCCGCUUCCUCGGUCGACGCGGUUAGCCGCAGCAGCGUCAAAACUGGUGUCGCCGGCGUCUGCUCAAAGCCCCGGCCGUGUCGCAUGACCUGAUGAUGAGAUGGAAGAAGACACGUCCGCGGCACCAGGCUUUUCAUCUCCCGAGCGUCUCUUCUACGCAGUCGUCACUCUCGGCUUCCUGCUCCGCUCCUUCUCGAUUGCGGCUCUCUUCUUCACCUCGAACAUCAACUUCCCACGUGUCGGCGUCGGCGCGUCACAUUGACUCUUGGCAGCCCACUUCACCAUCCGUGCCAUCGGCUAGGACGGCUGACAAAACCCGCAGCAGCGCCCCUUUAUGCGUGGCGUCCCUAGCCUGGCAAUGUCCGCGGCAGUGCUCGUCGAUGCUGCUCGGCUCAUACGUUGGGUAACAUCCCUGCUGUGUUUCAUCACUGCCAUUUCACGACCUCUGAGUUCUGUCGCAGCACUCUCGACUCACCCUCAGGUGCACGGAGGAGGUGCACCGCCUUUCUGCAGCGCUCUUGGAUCCUGCCCGCCUUCUACACGGUUGUGGGCGUCGUCUUCGUCAUCUUUGUGCACGGCCCGCACUUUUUCCUCCCGCUGCUCAUCAUCAUCGCCAACUACGUCAUCUUCUCGCGGCUGCAGCGCUGGUGCCCCUACUGGCUGUUCAUGGUCAUCAUGUGGGCCGCGCACGUCACUCUCCUGUACCUCAUCGAGAUCAACGAUGGGUUCGAGCAGACGCCCUGGUUACAGUACUACACUUCGUGUAUUCUGUCACACCUGCAAGCCAUUCAGGAAGAUGCGGAAGCAAUUCCUUGGGAGCAGCGUAUGCGCUGGUGCGUAGCCUUCCGCAUGUCGACGCUGCGCCUCAUCGCCUUCAACUACGACCUGUGGGAGGCCACGCACGCCGCCGCACGCGCGCGCGACCGUGCCAGGGCGAAGCACGACACCGGCUGCGUCGAGUGCGCGCAGCUGCGCGAGCAGAACGCAGCGUCGGCGGCCGCGCUGCCCGCCGAGGCGUUGCGCUGCUACAAGUACCGCACCGAGUACGCGCGCGACCCCGCCGACUACAACUUCCUGAACUACGCCGCCUACGUGCUGUUCCCGCCACUGUACCUUGCCGGGCCAAUGUCGUCCUUCAACGCGUUCGUGUCGCACAUGCGCGUGCCGAGCACGUCGAUGCCGCUGCGCAAGAUGGUGAGGUACGCGUUUGGCAUCCUCCGCAUCUACAUCACGGAGUACACGCUGUUGCACUUUGUGCACAUCCCGUGCCUCGGCUCGUACGCCUUCGUGAUCCUUCGGAUGACGUUGCUGGAGCAGGCGCACUUCCUGUUCUACAUGCUGGCCUACCUGUGGCUGAAGUUCAGCUUUAUAUGGAAGUCGUCGCGUCUCUUCGCCAUGUUCAGCGGCAUCGAAGUUCCGGAGGACAUGCGGCGCUGCUUCGGCAACACGCUGACGGUGCGGGGCUUCUGGCGCGACUGGCACGCCUCCUUCAACCUGUGGAUCGUGCGGUACAUGUACAUCCCGAUGGGUGGCCGCAGCCGCGUCGCGCUGUCGGUGCUGCCCAUCUUCCUGUUCAUUGCGGUGUGGCACGACCCGGCGCUGCACCUUGUCAAGUGGGCGGUGUGCAUUGCCGCGAUGUUCGUGGCGGAGGUGGCGGUGAGCGGGUGCUUUGGGUGGGCCGCUGCGGCGUUCCGGCGCGAGAUGGCCGCCGCGGCACCGCAUUCCACGAGAGGGGUGAGGAUCAACAGUCAAUACUCUUGGCGUAUUUCUCUCCUUGCCUCGAAGACGUACUUUUGGGGCCGCCACGUCAGCCGGCACAGCCGAGCGGCAAUGCGACGUCAUCUGUGCUACGGUGGCUGCUUCUCGAGUAUCUUGGGGGUCAUGAGAGCGAAUAUGAUGGGGUAGCCGUGCCGCACGUGCAGGCCGCCUCCAGGGAGAAGCGGGCAGCCAAGGCGCUCUUCUUCAAGGUCCUAAAAGAAGCAGGUGCAUGGUUGCACAUUAUCUUGGCAGUCAUCGUGUGCACGGCGGCCUGCAGUAGCGUGUGUACGCGGGAUGUGAAGGCGAGGGGAAUGGGUGCACCGCCCCAUGGAGAUCAACUGAAGCAGCUGUAGUGUGGCGGCAUGUGACUCCCUACCACCACGCAACACCACCAUCACUACAAGGGGCCUCAACCCUUCGCCCCUCAACACGCACACGCACACACCUAUCCUCUACAACUCUCCCCUCCGUGUGCUUCCCGCUACCACACACUGUCUUGGUGAUGGUUUACUUUUCACUGUGACGUGCGUUCUCUGAUGACCGGAGGAUACCCUCACCCUCAAAUCUCAGGGUCCAGUGCCCACCCACCCCCUUCGCAACUCUCUGUGCGGGAAAGCCAAGCAGCACCCCGAUCCCCAUCCCCUGCCAAGUGCCGAGCCGCUUCUGCUGGUGACAGGGGGGUUAGUGUUGGGUGCAGGGGCCGCGCUCAGGUCACCGAGCUGGCGCCUUGCCGUAAACGCGUGUGUCUCCUGCCGCCUCGCACCACGCGGAUGGGGCCUGUGGCAGGGGCCGGGUGGUGGGGAAUGGGAUGCGGAGUGGCGUUGGGCCUCGCGUUGCAUGGCCGAGAGAUAGAGAGCGUGGACACAGGUUGGCAUGCGCAACACAGCGUGUCGCUCAUUUGGCCUUUUACGUUUUCCUUGUCACUUUUUUUUUCAGAGGUUUACGCUGGUCGUACUUCGGUGCAAGCUCUGCUCGUGUCUCGUUCGAUGCUCACCUGCCUGUGGGGGUGGGGCGCGCCUUUGCGAGGCUCGCGUCAUCUCCGCCCUUGCUCGUCCUGCUGCCGUGGCCGGCCGUCCGUGUGUGAGGAUGCACGAGCACUGUUGUUGUUUGUUGUCGUGCUCGCUUUGUUGAUGUUGUUUGUGGUGCUGUGUGACGCUUCUCCGCUUCUUGCCUGUGGAAAG
rnacentral:misc_RNA from 1 species